rnacentral:rRNA from 1 species
GAUCAUGGCUCAGGAUGAACGCUAGCUACAGGCUUAACACAUGCAAGUCGAGGGGCAGCACAGAGAUAGCUUGCUAUCUUGGGUGGCGACCGGCGCACGGGUGAGUAACGCGUAUCCAACCUGCCCAUUACUCUGGGAUAGCCUUGCGAAAGUAAGAUUAAUACCGGAUGUUGUUAAAAACCCGCAUGAGUUUUUAACCAAAGAUUUAUUGGUAAUGGAUGGGGAUGCGUGACAUUAGGUAGUAGGUGAGGUAACGGCUCACCUAGCCGACGAUGUCUAGGGGGUUCUGAGAGGAAGGUCCCCCACACUGGAACUGAGACACGGUCCAGACUCCUACGGGAGGCAGCAGUGAGGAAUAUUGGUCAAUGGACGAGAGUCUGAACCAGCCAAGUAGCGUGCAGGAUGACGGCCCUCUGGGUUGUAAACUGCUUUUAGUUGGGAAUAAAAAGAGGGACGUGUCCCUAAUUGUAUGUACCAUCAGAAAAAGGACCGGCUAAUUCCGUG